rnacentral:rRNA from 1 species
UGGGGAAUUUUGCACAAUGGGCGCAAGCCUGAUGCAGCGACGCCGCGUGCGGGAAGAAGGCCUUAGGGUUGUAAACCGCUUUCAAUUGGGAAGAAGAGAAGAGAGUUAAUAACUUUCUGAUUUGACGGUACCUUUAGAAGAAGCACCGGCUAAUUUCGUGCCAGCAGCCGCGGUAAUACGAAAGGUGCAAGCGUUGUUCGGAUUUACUGGGCGUAAAGAGAUCGUAGGUGGUUUGUUAAGUUGGAUGUGAAAUCCCGGGGCUCAACCUCGGAACUGCAUCCAAAACUGGCAGACUAGAGUUCGGGAGGGGUAAGCGGAAUUCCGUGUGUAGCAGUGAAAUGCGUAGAUAUACGGAGGAACACCAGAGGCGAAGGCGGCUUACUGGACCGAUACUGACACUGAGGAUCGAAAGCGUGGGUAGCAAACA